rnacentral:lncRNA from 1 species
CCGACGUCCGAAGGAAGCGGAUGGGGAAGAAGGCGUCUACUUCUCCUUGAGGGGCGCGGCGCUCUGAAGUCGGCGGAGGCUGUGGAAGGGUUAGGGCUCGCUGCACUCGAACCACUGUUCUUCAAAUCAGCGUAGUCUCAGAGUCCGUACAGUCUAAAACUGGAAAAGAUGACGGGGAGCCUGGUGUCGUUAGCCUGGAGGACGGGUUGGGUCGAGGUUCUAGAUGGUUCUGGGGAUGAGAACCUUUAUCCCUGUGUCCCCGACGUUUGUCACAGCCAGGCGAGGUGGCCUGGUCACCGGAAGGAAGAUCGGGAGCUCAACGGUAUCCCCCGCUACAAAGUUCAAGCCAGGACUGAGACCCAAGUCAUUUGUUGUAACAAGUUAAUGUAUCCUUACGUGCUUGUCGUUUGUUUGGUUUUCGAGACAGGGUUUCUCUGUGGCUUUGGAGGGUGUCCUGGAACUCUAUACCAGGCUGGCCUCGAACUCAGAGAUCCGCCUGCCUCUGCCUCCCGGGUGCCGGGAUUAAAGGUAUGCACCACCACCGCCCGGCUUGGCGUACAUUUUUAAAAACUAAUGUAUUGUGUGGGUGGCCAUGUGUCCUUCUCCAAGGACAACUUGGAGAAGCCAGGUCUCUCCCCGCACGGUGUCCGAGGGAUUGAAUUUAGACGUCAAUCCUGGUAGCAAGCGCCUUUAUCCUCUGAGUCAGCUCCAGAGCCAGCCUUCAAGGAUCAGAAAUUUAAUUUUUUUUUAUAGGUUCUCAUGUAGCCCAAGCUGGCCUCAAACUUUUUAUGUGGCUGUGGAUGACCCAUAAGUCCUGAUCUUCCUUUCUCCUCCAUUAAAAAUGGGCUAGACAUUUUUAAUUUUCAUGAAGUCUAGUUGUAUUCCUUGGGUGGGAGGAGUGGAUCAUGCCUAGCUCACGGAACCCACCUGUCUCUGUGUCUCUCCCACCCCACCCCGGUGCUGGGGUUAUAGCCAGACACAGCUUUUUACCUGGGUGCCAUGGAUUUGAACUCAAGUCCUCAUGUUUGUAAGUGCUCUUACCCACUGGCCAGUUUCCUAGCCUCAGUGCGAGUUAAUUUUUGUGUUUAUAAGACAUGGAUUGAAGUUCUGCCCCUACCCCUGGAUUUAGAUGUUGUUUUUUUAGUUGUUACUGGGUUUUGUUUUGUUUGUUUGUUUUGUUUUUUUGCUUUUUGAGACAGGAUUUCUCUGUGGCUUUGGAGGGUGUCCUGGAACUAGCUCUUGUAGACCAGGCUGGUCUCGAUCUCACAGAGAUCCGCCUGCCUCUGACUCUUAAGUGCUGGGAUUAAAAGCGUGCACCACCACCACCCAGCUAGAUGUUAAUUAUUACAGCAUAUGGAAUAUUGCUACUGUUGAAGAGUCCAUUUUUCUCCACUGUAUCUUCUCCACCUUUGUUGAAACAGUCGUUUGCAUGUGUGUUCAUGUGUGUUCGACUCUGGUCUCCUCAUUCUGUAAGUGUUGAUUGGUACUGUCCACACGCACACACCUCAACAGGUGCCUGUUUUCUUGGGCUUGUAACCCUGUCCUAAUUUUUGCAUAUUUGCAAUCUGGUCAUUCAAGUUCAAUAUAUUUAGUAAAUCCAGUCAUGUGAAAAGAUAAACCAGAAAAAUAACAGUUCCCGUCAGCUUGGGGAAGUGAAGCCUUGUGUGACCUCAUCAUGCCCCAAACAGACCUAUUAAGAGUCCUUCUGGACUUCCCCUGCCUCCUUGGAGGGAAUAAAUGUCUCCAUGGUCUUGAACAAAUAGGGUUGGUGUCUCACAGCUGGGCUGCUUUGGUGGGGGAAUCGGCCUCCAGCAACCUGCUGUCAGCAAGAGUUCAAGCUUGGUGGACGGGGACUUUCUGUGUGUCUUUGGCUUCAGUUUCUCCCUCCAUCCAGAUGAAGAAGGUAGACUUCAGAUGGCCAAGCCCUGUAGAACCCUGAGUCAAAAAACAAAACAAAACAAAAAACCAUGUCAGUCUAAGUUGAUACAGAAUCACUUGGAAACCUUUUUUUUUCUUUCUUUCUUUUUAAGAUUUACAAUGUAUAGUGUUCUGUCACCUGCACGCCAGAAGAGGGCACCAGAUCUCAUUACAGAUGGUUGUGAACCGUCAUGUGGUUGUUGGGAAUUGAACUCAGAACCUCUGGAAGACCAGCCAGUGUUCUUAAUCACUGAGCCAUCUCUCCAACCCCUAGAAUUGUUUUAUUUGUAAUUCUGUGAAGGGUGGUUGGGGUGGGACCAGGGACUGUAUGUGCUCAUAUGAAUGCAGUUCCCAUAAAGUCCAGAAGAGGGCACUGCUUGCCUCAGAACUGGAAUUAGAGGCCAGUGUACGUGCAAGAACUGAAUGUGGACCCUAUGCAGAAGUAUAAACGGCCUUUUUAAAAUGACUUCACUGUUUUUAUCUUAUGUGCAUUGAUGUUUUGCCUGCGUGUAUGUCUGUGUGAGGGUGUCAAGUCCUCUGGAAUUGGAGUUACAGACAGUUGGGAGCCACCAUGUGAGUGCUAGAUUGAACCCAGAUCCUCUGGAAGAACAGCCAGUGCCCUUAACUGCUGAGCCAUCUCGCCAGCCUCUGCCUUGUUUUUGUUUGGGGACUGGUUCUCACUCUGUAGUCCUGGCUAGUCUGGACUGGCUGUGUAGACCAGGUUGGCCCCCAGCUUAUGGUAAUUCUGCCCCUGCUUUCUGAGUGCAGGGAUGGUAGGCUCACCCGCCACAGUCAUCCUUCUUUUGGGAGCCAGAGAUGAGCAGCCUGGUUUUUCAUGUUUAUUGUUCUCAUUUUUAAAUUCACCAUGGAACUGUGUGGGGUCUGUUUUCACCCACAGUCACUGCUGUCUCAGGCCCCAGAGCAUAGCAGGUCCCUGUUGGAGCUUUCUGUCACUUAGCAAGGAACUCCUAAGUACCAUAGCUUCUUGUGGGGAAUGAAUAGUGUCUACCUGUGUGGCUGGGGUGUGGCUCAGGAGCUGAGCAAGCAACAUCCAGCACUGAUCUCCAACCAAGGCAAACAAGCAAAAAUCUUGUGUGGAUGCCCCACUCAGUUUGUGUAGCCAGUAACCUGUUGAACGUUAGGAUAUCUUGGUUGUUUUCAGGUCUCAACACUUAUGAAUAACAUUUCUGGGUGGAAGAGAUGGCUCAGAGGGUAAAGGCACUUGCUAUCGAGUCUGAUGACCUGACUUGGAUCCCAGGGACCCACAGGGUGGAAGGGGAGAAUGGUUUCUGUAAGUUGUCCUAGGUUCCACCUGUACACUGUGGCACAUGUACACAAAUGAAUGUAAAAGUCUUAAUUGUUAAUAAAAAUAAAUAAUAAUAGUAAAAAAUCUUAAUUGUUAGUAAACCUUCACUUGGCUGGGCCCUGUUAUCCCCGACUCCGGAGACAGAGGCAGGUCCAUCUCUGUGAGUUCAAGGGCAUCCUGGUCUACAGAGUGAGUUCCAGGACAGCCAGGCUACACAGAGAAACCCUGUCUCGAGAAAUAAAAUAACCUUCACUUGCAGGCACUUAAAUGGUUGUAUAUCCUCGUUUUAGUUUAGUUUCAGACUCUGACUUUUUUCUUUCUUUCUUUUUUUUUUUUUUUACUGAGAAACCCAUGAAAAAAACCAACACUGUUGGAAUGUUCUAGAGGAAGUUCUCAUGGGCACCAGAGGUGCUUCUCACAGUUCCUUUUUUUUUAUUUUCAGAUUCACUCAGCACAUGGCUCGAAACCCAGACAACUUAUAAAGAAAUAAAGAGACUCCACUGUCCAGUAACAUUCAAGAGCAGACCUGCAGUGGCCUCCUCAGCAGAGAAUCAGGAGGUGUGGGAGAGGGGCCGGUGCUAAGGAGCCCUGCAGAAGGUUCCCAACUUCCUGGAGGGUGUCCCAGCUCCCAGAGUUCUGCUUUUUGGCAUCUGGUUCUCAGCUAGAUCUACCUUUGUGGGUAACAGCACCUCACCCAUCACUAUUUCUGAAUCGCUGAGUUGUUUUCUGCUGCCUUUGGGAUGCCAGUUUCCACUCUGCUGGCACCGAGGAAGAACAGAAGGGCAGCCCCAUCCAUUAGACUGUUGAGGGGAGUGGGGGUGUUGACAACUUCCCCCACAUCUCAAGACCCGCUUAACUGCUUUGGGGUGUAUUCACUGAGGACACAGAGGAAACAGCCGCGGACAAGAGGGUCUGGGCACGCAGCUCAGUUGGUAGAGGUCUUGCCUGGCAUGCAGAAGGCCCUGGGUUUGAGCCCCAGAUCUCAUCAACCAGGGAUGAUGGCACAAGACUAAUCCUAGCACUCAGGAGGUGGUAGAGACAGGAAGCUCAGAAGUUGGAGGUCAUCUUUGGGCACAUAGCAAGCAACAAAUUCAGGUCUAGCCUGAGACUGAGGAAGGGCAGGUGUGGAAAUGGUAGGACGGCUCAGCUGGGAAGGGUACUUUCUGCCCAUGCCUGAGACCUGACUCAUUGACCUCCAUACAAGGUCCAUGGUGUGUGCGUGUGUGUGUGUGUGUGUGUGUGUGUGUGUGUGUGUCUGUCCACACACACGAGUGUGCACACACACACACACACAGGAGCAAAGGGAAUGGCCUGGAAGCUCCUGCAACCUUGGUAGAUGAGGAUAUCAUGUUCUUCCUAAAGCAAGGGAUUUUCUCCUGGAGCAUCUGUCUUCUCUCUCUGGGCCCUCCAUCAGUCUCUCAUGUCAGCCCCUCCCCCAUUUCCCUUUGGCUGGGUCAUCUGGCUUCUUCUUAGCUUUCAAGCUGUGUGUACACAUCUGGAGAGCACCCCUGGUUACUACUCCCCAGCAACACACUGUGCCUUCUUGCAGGGUCUGGCAAGAAAAGCUCCAGAAGGGCUGCUUGAUUGGCAGCAUGCUGUCUUUGCUCAGCUCCAAUGGAGGAGUUGGGCUCAGUCUACUUGGAUUUGAAAAAAACUUUGUCUAUGCUGGACCAGUGGUGGCCAGUGAUGGUGCACACCUUUAAUCCCAGCACUCAGGAGGCAGAGGCAGGCGGAUCUCUGUGAGUUCGAGGCCAGUCUGGACUACAGAGCAAAUUCCAGGACAGCCAUGGCUGUUACACAGAGAAACCCCAUCUGGAAAACCAAAAAGUUUUGUCUAUUUAUUGAUUCAGACAUGGCUUCACUCUGUAGCCCUGUCUGACCCCUAAUUUCUGUUGUCCCCCUGCCUCUGUCUUUCCAGGAUCACAAGCCACCGCACCCAGCUUGCAAUUGACUGACUGAAUGAUUCAUUUACUUAUUUCUAGUGUGGAGAUGGCUCAGAGGUUAAGAGCAGUGACU